AACGCACAUUGCGCCCUUUGGUAUUCCAAAGGGCAUGCCUGUUCGAGCGUCAUUUGUACCUUCAAGCUUUGCUUGGUGUUGGGCGUUUUUUUUGUCUCCCUCUUUCUGGGAGACUCGCCUUAAAACGAUUGGCAGCCGGCCUACUGGUUUCGGAGCGCAGCACAUAAUUUGCACUUUGUAUCAGGAGAAAAGGACGGUAAUCCAUCAAGACUCUACAAUUUUUAACUUUUGACCUCGGAUCAGGUAGGGAUACCCGCUGAACUUAA
rnacentral:misc_RNA from 1 species